rnacentral:rRNA from 1 species
AUCGGGGUCUAUUNUGCAGUCGAGCGAAUCAAUGGGAGCUUGCUCCCUGAGGAUUAGCGGCGGACGGGUGAGUAACACGCUGGGUUAACCGUGCCUGUUAAGAUUGGGAUAACUCCGGGAAACCGGAGCUAAUACCGGAUAACAUUUUGAACCGCAUGGUUCAAAAUUAAAAGGUGGCUUUUGCUACCACUUACAGAUGGACCCGCGGCGCAUUAGCUAGUUGGUGAGGUAACGGCUCACCAAGGCAACGAUGCGUAGCCGACCUGAGAGGGCGAUCGGCCACACUGGGACUGAGACACGGCCCAGACUCCUACGGGAGGCAGCAGUAGGGAAUCUUCCGCAAUGGACGAAAGUCUGACGGAGCAACGCCGCGUGAACGAUGAAGGCCUUCGGGUCGUAAAGUUCUGUUGUUAGGGAAGAACAAGUACCAGAGUAACUGCUGGUACCUUGACGGUACCUAACCAGAAAGCCACGGCUAACUACGUGCCAGCAGCCGCGGUAAUACGUAGGUGGCAAGCGUUGUCCGGAAUUAUUGGGCGUAAAGCGCUCGCAGGCGGUUUCUUAAGUCUGAUGUGAAAGCCCACGGCUCAACCGUGGAGGGUCAUUGGAAACUGGGGAACUUGAGUGCAGAAGAGGAGAGUGGAAUUCCACGUGUAGCGGUGAAAUGCGUAGAGAUGUGGAGGAACACCAGUGGCGAAGGCGACUCUCUGGUCUGUAACUGACGCUGAGGAGCGAAAGCGUGGGGAGCGAACAGGAUUAGAUACCCUGGUAGUCCACGCCGUAAACGAUGAGUGCUAAGUGUUAGAGGGUUUCCGCCCUUUAGUGCUGCAGCAAACGCNUUAAGCACUCCGCCUGGGGAGUACGGUCGCAAGACUGAAACUCAAAGGANUUGACGGGGGCCCCNCACAAGCGGGGGANCAUGNGGUUUAAUUCGAAGCAAC